UACAGAGGGUGCGAGCGUUGUCCGGAAUCACUGGGCGUAAAGGGCGCGUAGGCGGCCUUCUAAGUCGAACGUGAAAUCCCCGGGCUCAACCCGGGAACUGCGUCCGAUACUGGAAGGCUUGAAUCCGGGAGAGGGAUGCGGAAUUCCAGGUGUAGCGGUGAAAUGCGUAGAUAUCAGGAAGAACACCCGUGGCGAAAGCGGGUCUCUGGGCAGUAACUGACGCUGGAGGAGCGAAAGCGUGGGGAGCGAACAGG
rnacentral:rRNA from 1 species